rnacentral:lncRNA from 1 species
CCACCCCAAACCUUACUAACCCCACCCCAAACCGGGUUAGUGGGGUUUACUAACCCCACUCUCCCUCCCAACUUUAACCCCGCACGCAUCCCGAGUCCUCACCUUUUUCUUCUUUAUCAAUCAUUAACCCCACUCCCCCUCCCAACUUUAACCCCGCACGCAUCCCGAGCUCUCACCUUUUUCUUCUUUAUUAAUCAUUAUCUUUUUAUCCCACCUACUUUAACCAAACACUUUUUUUCACUAUCCUAGACUAACUCCAAUCUCCAACCAAACAUAAAAAAAUUUUAACACCAUUUUAACCCUGAACUUAACCCUAUCCCUGAAAUAGCUACUUUUUCUUAACCCCGAACCAAACGGGGGCUUAGUUGCUAAAAGUAGCUUAGAAGAUAUUCCGAGAUGUCGUUGAUGUGUUAGAUUUUAAACUAGCUUCUGGUGCGUGUAAUAAGUCUGAAAAGCUGUAUCAACUAUCAAUUAUCUUU